rnacentral:rRNA from 1 species
CAGAGGGUGCGAGCGUUAAUCGGAAUUACUGGGCGUAAAGGGCGCGUAGGCGGUUGAUUAAGCUGUGUGUGAAAGAAUUGGGCUUAACCUAAUAAAGCAGACAGAACUGAUUAACUAGAGUGAAGUAGAGGUGAUAGGAAUUUCCGGAGUAGCGGUGAAAUGCGUAGAUACCGGAAAGAACACCAGAGGCGAAGGCGAGUCACUGGACUUUAACUGACGCUGAGGCGCGAAAGCGUGGGGAGCAAACAGGAUUAGAUACCCUGGUAGUCCACGCCGUAACCGAUGAAAACUAGAUGCUAGGGAGCAAAAGCUGUUUAGUGUCGAAGCAAACGCGAUUAAGUUUUCCGCCUGGGGAGUACGGCCGCAAGGUUA